rnacentral:rRNA from 2 species
CCCGUUUUCUGUCUGCAUGCCGGACUUGCCGAUUCCUAACAAGGUACCCGUAGUUUCCGGAUGCCUUAUUUUGUGAACGGGUGAGUAACACGUGAGUAACCUGCCCCUGAUUCUGGGAUAAGCGUUGGAAACGACGUCUAAUACUGGAUAUGAUCACUGGCCGCAUGGUCUGGUGGUGGAAAGAUUUUUUGGUUGGGGAUGGACUCGCGGCCUAUCAGCUUGUUGGUGAGGUAAUGGCUCACCAAGGCGACGACGGGUAGCCGGCCUGAGAGGGUGACCGGCCACACUGGGACUGAGACACGGCCCAGACUCCUACGGGAGGCAGCAGUGGGGAAUAUUGCACAAUGGGCGAAAGCCUGAUGCAGCAACGCCGCGUGAGGGAUGACGGCCUUCGGGUUGUAAACCUCUUUUAGUAGGGAAGAAGCGAAAGUGACGGUACCUGCAGAAAAAGCACCGGCUAACUACGUGCCAGCAGCCGCGGUAAUACGUAGGGUGCAAGCGUUGUCCGGAAUUAUUGGGCGUAAAGAGCUCGUAGGCGGUUUGUCGCGUCUGCUGUGAAAUCCCGAGGCUCAACCUCGGGCUUGCAGUGGGUACGGGCAGACUAGAGUGCGGUAGGGGAGAUUGGAAUUCCUGGUGUAGCGGUGGAAUGCGCAGAUAUCAGGAGGAACACCGAUGGCGAAGGCAGAUCUCUGGGCCGUAACUGACGCUGAGGAGCGAAAGCAUGGGGAGCGAACAGGAUUAGAUACCCUGGUAGUCCAUGCCGUAAACGUUGGGCGCUAGAUGUAGGGACCUUUCCACGGUUUCUGUGUCGUAGCUAACGCAUUAAGCGCCCCGCCUGGGGAGUACGGCCGCAAGGCUAAAACUCAAAGGAAUUGACGGGGGCCCGCACAAGCGGCGGAGCAUGCGGAUUAAUUCGAUGCAACGCGAAGAACCUUACCAAGGCUUGACAUACACCGGAAACGGCCAGAGAUGGUCGCCCCCUUGUGGUCGGUGUACAGGUGGUGCAUGGUUGUCGUCAGCUCGUGUCGUGAGAUGUUGGGUUAAGUCCCGCAACGAGCGCAACCCUCGUUCUAUGUUGCCAGCGGGUUAUGCCGGGGACUCAUAGGAGACUGCCGGGGUCAACUCGGAGGAAGGUGGGGAUGACGUCAAAUCAUCAUGCCCCUUAUGUCUUGGGCUUCACGCAUGCUACAAUGGCCGGUACAAAGGGCUGCGAUACCGUAAGGUGGAGCGAAUCCCAAAAAGCCGGUCUCAGUUCGGAUUGAGGUCUGCAACUCGACCUCAUGAAGUCGGAGUCGCUAGUAAUCGCAGAUCAGCAACGCUGCGGUGAAUACGUUCCCGGGCCUUGUACACACCGCCCGUCAAGUCAUAAAAAUCUAUAACAGCCUUCCGGUCCCCUGCUCGAUCAUAGAUCAGACGUCACCUCAGUCACUACACGAACAUCA